rnacentral:rRNA from 1 species
UACGAGGGGGGCUAGCGUUGCUCGGAAUCACUGGGCGUAAAGGGUGCGUAGGCGGGUCUUUAAGUCAGGGGUGAAAUCCUGGAGCUCAACUCCAGAACUGCCUUUGAUACUGAGGAUCUUGAGUUCGGGAGAGGUGAGUGGGAACUGCGAGUGUAGAGGUGAAAUUCGUAGAUAUUCGCAAAGAACACCAGUGGCGAAGGCGGCUCACUGGCCCGAUACUGACGCUGAGGCA